rnacentral:rRNA from 1 species
GAUGAACGCUGGCGGCGUGCUUAACACAUGCAAGUCGAACGGAAAGGCUCCUGCUUGCAGGGGUACUCGAGUGGCGAAAGGGUGAGUAACACGUGGGUGAUCUGCCCUGCACUUCGGGAUAAGCCUGGGAAACUGGGGCUAAUACCGGAUAGGACGAUGGUUUGGAUGCGAUGGUGGAAAGUUUUUCGGUGUGGGAUGAGCUCGCGGCCUAUCAGCUUGUUGGUGGGGUAAUGGCCUACCAAGGCGUCGACGGGUAGCCGGCCUGAGAGGGUGUACGGCCACAUUGGGACUGAGAUACGGCGCAGACUCCUACGGGAGGCAGCAGUGGGGAACAUUACACAGUGGGCGCAAGCCUGAUGCAGCGACGCCGCGUGGGGGAUGACGGCCUUCGGGUUGUAAACUCCUUUCGCUAGGGACGAAGCGCAAGUGACGGUACCUGGAGAAGAAGCACCGGCUAACUACGUG